rnacentral:lncRNA from 1 species
AUGCAUGCAUGCAUGUAAGCACGCGCACGCACGCACACAACAACAAAAGAAGUGAAUUGAAAGCUUUUAUGAAUUCGGUGAUCAUCUAGCUAAAUACUUGUUCAGUUUGUUGAGAAAUAACCUUAUAAAUAUUUUAUAUAACGUAUGCUUGACUAUCUUUGCCAUUUUUGCUUGCUAUUGAUGCAGAGGGUGCAAAAGAGACUGGCUGUUUUUAACAGGCGUGUAAAAAGAAGUUGCUCUUGCAAGUGCUUGCUCCUGUCGGUGGGCGCUAUUGUGAUUCUAGCUGCUAUAGCUUUCAUUCUUAUCAAGUACUUGUAAAAGUUUCCCUGGCAAUUUUCUUGCCAGUCACUCUUGUUUUGGUCUGAGUCUGCUCACCAAUCUGUAGCAUUCCAGGACACUGUCAUUUGUUAUGCUGGCAAUUGUUUUGUUUCCAGGAAUUGCGCUUCACUUUACGUGUAUGUUUGAUUGCAAGACAAAAAUUUUUGUUUGUGGAGUCAUCCUUCCCCUCUUAAUUGCUAGUUUCUAACCAUUAAAAAUUUUCAUUAUUUUCUUUCAGACAAUUUUUUGUUAUAUUACACUGAGCAUACCCAAUAAUCCAAAUUCUGAAUAGUCUGUCUUUGGCAACAUUUUUAUGCGACAAUAAUUCUGCAAGGACCUG